rnacentral:rRNA from 1 species
UACGAAGGGUGCAAGCGUUACUCGGAAUUACUGGGCGUAAAGCGUGCGCAGGCGGUUCGCUAAGACAGAUGUGAAAUCCCCGGGCUUAACCUGGGAACUGCAUUUGUGACUGGCGGGCUAGAGUAUGGCAGAGGGGGGUAGAAUUCCACGUGUAGCAGUGAAAUGCGUAGAGAUGUGGAGGAAUACCGAUGGCGAAGGCAGCCCCCUGGGCCAAUACUGACGCUCAUGCACGAAAGCGUGGGGAGCAAACAGG